GACAGCCAGGAUGUUGGCUUAGAAGCAGCCAUCAUUUAAAGAAAGCGUAAUAGCUCACUGGUCGAGUCGGCCUGCGCGGAAGAUGUAACGGGGCUAAACCAUGCACCGAAGCUGCGGCAGCGACACUGGUGUUGUUGGGUAGGGGAGCGUUCUGUAAGCCUGUGAAGGUGGCCUGUGAGGGUUGCUGGAGGUAUCAGAAGUGCGAAUGCUGACAUAAGUAACGAUAAAGCGGGUGAAAAGCCCGCUCGCCGGAAG
rnacentral:rRNA from 1 species